ensembl:snRNA U6 U6 spliceosomal RNA
GUGCUCACUUCGGCAGCACAUAUACCAAAAUUGAGUGAUACCGACAAGAUUCGCAUGGCCCCUACGCAAGGAUUACACCAAAUUCGUGAAGCGUUCCAUAUUUUU